AUUGAACGCUGGCGGCAUGCCUAACACAUGCAAGUCGAGCGAGCGGCGGACGGGUGAGUAAUGUCUGGGAAACUGCCCGAUGGAGGGGGUUAACUACUGGAAACGGUAGCUAAUCCCGCAUACCAUCAGAUCUGCCAAGAUGGGAUUAGCUGGUGGGGGUGGUAAUUGCUACACUAGGCGACGAUCCCUCGCUUGACUGAUAGGAUGACCAGCCACACUGGAACUGAGACACGGGCCAGACUCCUACGGGAGGCAGCAGUGGGGAAUUUUGCACAAUGGGCGAAAGCCUGUUGCAGCCACGCCGCGUGUGUGAAGAAGGCCUUCGGGUUGUAAAGCACUUUCAGCUGGGGGGCGUUACCCGCUUAGUAAUCACCGGCUAACUCCGUGCCAGCAGCCGCGGUAAUUC
rnacentral:rRNA from 1 species